GGGGGAGUGGCUGCUUGUGAGGGUAGAUAGUGAUAGGAAAAGGGGGAAUGGUUUUAAACUGAGACAGGGGAGGUUUAGGUUGGAGAUGAGGAGGAAGUUUUUCCCCCACAGGGUGGUGACGCACUGAACAGGUUGCCCAAGGAGGCUGUGGAUGCCCCAUCCCUGCAGGCAUUCAAGGCCAGGCUGGAUGUGGCUCUGGGCAGCCUGGUCUGGUGAUUGGCAACCCUGCACAUAGCAGGGGGUUGGAACUGGAUGCGCAUUGUGGUCCUUUUCAACCCAGGCCAUUCUAUGGUUCUAUGAUUCCCAUUCCAGAACAGAAGAAGGCAGCUACUGCUUCUAGUGCCCACCCAGCCCAGUGCCUGCCCAGCAGUGGUGAUACCAGAUACAGGAGCACCCACUCCUGUAUCAGCCCUGCAUGCUGUCUGCACCACCCGCAGUGCCAUGGUGUGAGGAGGGCUCCCAGGGCAGCAGUUGCUCUCCCGUGGGUGACACAGCAAGGAGUACUGGCACAGCCUCAGGAGCAAUGCCUGGGCAGGGUUUGUCCAACAGA
rnacentral:lncRNA from 1 species